GAUGAACGCUGACAGAAUGCUUAACACAUGCAAGUCUACUUGAACUUCGGUUUGGGUGGCGGACGGGUGAGUAGCGCGUAAAGAACUUGCCCCACAGUUAGGGACAACAUUUGGAAACGAAUGCUAAUACCUGAUAUUAUGAUUUUAGGGCAUCCUAAGAUUAUGAAAGCUAUAUGCGCUGUGAGAGAGCUUUGCGUCCCAUUAGCUAGUUGGAGAGGUAACGGCUCACCAAGGCGAUGAUGGGUAGCCGGCCUGAGAGGGUGAACGGCCACAAGGGGACUGAGACACGGCCCUUACUCCUACGGGAGGCAGCAGUGGGGAAUAUUGGACAAUGGACCAAAAGUCUGAUCCAGCAAUUCUGUGUGCACGAUGACGUUUUUCGGAAUGUAAAGUGCUUUCAGUUGGGAAGAAAAAAAUGACGGUACCAACAGAAGAAGUGACGGCUAAAUACGUGCCAGCAGCCGCGGUAAAAC
rnacentral:rRNA from 1 species